rnacentral:rRNA from 1 species
CGACAAGCGGUGGAGCAUGUGGUUAAUUCGUACGCAACGCGAAGAACCUUACCAGGGCUUGACAUCCCUGACCGCGUAUGAAAGUACGUUUUCACCCUCGGGUGACAGGGAGACAGGUGGUGCAUGGUUGUCGUCAGCUCGUGUCGUGAGAUGUUGGGUUAAGUCCCGCAACGAGCGCAACCCUUGCCUUUAGUUGCCAUCAUUCAGUUGGGCACUCUAGAGGGACUGCCGGUGUCAAACCGGAGGAAGGUGGGAUGACGUCAAGUCCUCAUGGCCUUUAUGCCCAGGGCUACACACGUGCUACAAUGGGCGGUACAAAGAGCAGCGAGCUCGCGAGAGUAAGCAAAUCUCAAAAAGCCGUCCUCAGUUCGGAUUGGAGUCUGCAACUCGACUCCAUGAAGUUGGAAUCGCUAGUAAUCGCGGAUCAGCAUGCCGCGGUGAAUACGUUCCCGGGCCUU